rnacentral:rRNA from 1 species
CCUACGGGAGGCAGCAGUGAGGAAUAUUGGUCAAUGGGCGCGAGCCUGAACCAGCAAAGUAGCGUGAAGGAUGACUGCCCUACGGGUUGUAAACUUCUUUUAUCAAGGAAUAAAGUGAGGCCCGUGUGCCUUUUUGUAUGUACUUUAUGAAGAAGGAUCGGCUAACUCCGUGCCAGCAGCCGCGGUAAUACGGAGGAUCCGCGCGUUAUCCGGAUUUAUUGUGUUUAAAGGGAGCGUAGAUGGGUUGUUAAGUCAGUUGUGAAAGUUUGCGGCUCAACCGUAAAAUUGCAAUUGAAACUGGCAGUCUUGAGUACAGUUGAGGUAGGCGGAAUUCGUGGUGUAGCGGUGAAAUGCUUAGAUAUCACGAAGAACUCCGAUUGCGAAGGCAGCUUACUAAACUGCCACUGACAUUGAUGCUCGAAAGUGUGGGUAUCAAACAGGAUUAGAUACCCCAGUAGUC